rnacentral:rRNA from 1 species
UACGGAGGGUGCAAGCGUUAUCCGGAUUCACUGGGUUUAAAGGGAGCGCAGGCGGAUUGGUAAGUCAGUGGUGAAGGGCUUAAGCUUAACUUGGGAACUGCCAUUGAUACUAUCAGUCUUGAAUGUUGUUGAGGUUUGCGGAAUGGGUCAUGUAGCGGUGAAAUGCAUAGAUAUGACCCGGAACACCUAUUGCGAAGGCAGCAGGCUAAACAAAUAUUGACGCUGAGGCUCGAAAGCGUGGGGAUCAAACAGG